UUCAAUUUGGUCGAUUCAUUGAAUUUGGUUAUAAUUGAAAUUAAAUAGGUCAAAGUUACGAAGCAAAUUGGUCGAUUAAUUGUCCAUAUAGAUCAAAAUGUAAAUGAACUAAUUAAAUCCCUAUCUAAUAUGACUAUAUUUUAAAUGACCCAAGAAUUGGCCAAAAUAACUCUUUCUUAUUCUUAAUUUUGGGCCACAAUAGCAGCCCAACAAGUCAACAACAUUAGCAGCCCAACAAGUCAACAACUAGCCUAGCAGCAGCACACCGCUCAGCCCAAUGUAGAGGUAACCCGGCCCAAAUUUCUUUUUCCCUUUUAACUCAUUUUCCACCUUAACAACGUACUACACCAACAAUACACCGACACAUCAACGCUUACAGAAACGACAUUCAAUAGCGUACAAACAUCGAACAAACCAAUAAUUUCAAACCGUAAAACCAAAAACGCGACAACAAUAUAUUCAACAAUUCAUCAACGGCGUAAUAGCAAUACAACGUCAACAACAGCAAAACCAAUGAACGGUGUCUAUCCCCAAAACCCAGCCACGUCAUAUCAUUUUUUUAGCUCAUUCAACCCUUUGAAACCAACAGUGGCAGGGAAACAUUUCCCAAAUUGUGAAACAAUGGAAUGUUGCUCUGAAAUCGUCAUUAAUUCAAGAUAUUGUGGAGAUUUUUUGUUGAAUUGGAAUUCAAAUUCCAUCCUUUUGCAAUUUUUUCAAAUCCGGUUCUCAUCUGUAAAUAGCCCCUCCCUCACCAUGGAAAAAGAAGAUUUUUUGGGAGAAAACUUGGAGAUUCUGGAGACACACGCCUCUAAUUUCACGCAACCGGAAAUCUUUGAGGAACGUUCAAGAAACGAAUCAAAAUUCGAUGAUUUGAUGGAAUUCCAGUGAUCGGUAUAGAGCCUAGGUGGUGGAAGUUCGGUCGUUAAGCCCGUUUGUCCCUGCUCCUGCCCGAAAACAGUAUACAGUGAUGUACAUGCCGCUAUACAUAAAUAUACAGCUGCAGAAAAAAGGAAAUGGAAAAAGAAGAUGAUUAUACUGGGAGGAAAUUAAGUUUGUCUGUAUAUGACUGAAAUACGGUCAUAUAUACACCGUAUAUAUACGAAAACGCAGGAAAAAGGGGCUGGUAUUCAUGUAGUAUACAAUGCAGAAAAAUGGACCUAAGUCCAUAAUAUUAAAAACCCAAAGGUUGGGCAUGUUAUUAAUAGGCUAAAAGGGGGCCAACUCCAAUUCUUUAUAUAAAUACCAACCCUUUUGGAAGUAAUUACAGUCUCUCCUACUUUUUUAAUUAUUUUACUCUUUCUCCCUAUUAAUAUACAUACCAUAACCGAUAUAUACAUAUCAUUUUGUGUAUAUGUUGGGAUUUUUGUAAUAUGUUUAGAGAGUUGGAUUGUUUGUAAUAUUAGAAACAUAAGUUGUGUAUUUGUGUAAUUUUUAGUUAUCUUUAUUCUCUUGUAAUUCUUAAUGGAAAAGAUACUUGUUUAUUUAUGU